GCAAGUCGAACGAGACCUUCGGGUCUAGUGGCGCACGGGUGCGUAACGCGUGGGAACCUGCCUUUAGGUUCGGGAUAACAGUUGGAAACGACUGCUAAUACCGAAUGAUGUCUUCGGACCAAAGAUUUAUCGCCUUUAGAUGGGCCCGCGUUGGAUUAGGUAGUUGGUGGGGUAAAGGCCUACCAAGGCUUCGAUGGUUAGCUGGUCUGAGAGGAUGAUC
rnacentral:rRNA from 1 species